AUUGAACGCUGGCGGCAGGCUUAACACAUGCAAGUCGAACGAGUGGCGGACGGGUGAGUAAUGCUUGGGAAUCUGGCUUAUGGAGGGGGAUACCGACGGGAAACUGUCGCUAAUACCGCUAACCAUAGGAUGAGCCCAAGUGGGAUUAGGUAGUUGGUGGGGUAAUGGCCUACCAAGCCGACGAUCCUUAGCUGGUCUGAGAGGAGGAUAAGCCAAACUGGGAUUGAGACACGGCCCAGACUCCUACGGGAGGCAGCAGUGGGGAAUGUUGGACAAUGGGCGCAAGCCUGAUCCAGCCAUGCCGCGUGUAUGAAGAAGGCCUUCGGGUUGUAAAGGACUUUUGUCAGGGAAGCGGUACCUGAAGAAUAAGCACCGGCUAACUACGUGCCAGCAGCCGCGGUAAUAC
rnacentral:rRNA from 1 species